rnacentral:lncRNA from 1 species
CCAGCAGCACAGUAGUGAACCACCUUGGCCUUGUCUAGCUCAAUGUUCUCAGGUGGCGCCAUAGCAUGGCCAUCACCAGGUUGUAAAUGGGAGGGAUGGGCCUGUAAAUGUCCCUAAAGUACAUGUUCAGAUAAUCCUACUCCGCAAAUAGGGUAGGAGGGGUGACUUUGAGGGUAGUCAAGAGGUCCACAUAUGUAGAAAGGCUAGGUUCAUAUACAAACAUUCCAGCGUUGAAGUAAAGAGGAGGUUUAGGACCAAGCUGCGAAGGCCAUUGGACCUUAUCAGGGCACUGCUACCUUUCCCAGGGUUUAAUGUGGAAACUGUGGAAUAUAAGAACAUUAGCUUCACCGUUUGGGAUGUUGGAGGUCAGGACAAGGUAAUAUUACGGGAACCCGAAAAAUGUUGCAGAACAAACCAUAAUUAGUCAUCAUUUUACCAUUAUAUUGUUUCCCUGGGUCUUAUUGCUUGAUGGAACAUGAUAUUUUACCCUGGGUAAACUGUACAAUACAUUGAUGUUUCAACUAAUGGAUAUGCUUAGGGACGAUCUUAUGCUCAUGGCAUCAGCAUAUAAGAUAAUCAUAAUCUACAUCUACUAAUGCCACCUCGCCUUUCUAGUUUAUCCUUUGGUGGUAUGAGGAGAGGUUAUCCAUGUCGUGGCUGUUGCAUUAUUCGGCAUCUUGCCUUUAUUGUAUGCAACACAUUCCAAUUUUACUUCUCAAUGAUUCAAAUCGAGUAGCCCCUAAGGGCUUGGUCAGUAUGUCAGCCAAUUGUGCUCCAGAGCUACAAUGCACAAGGCUGACUUCCCUUGUUUGCUCAGCUUCUCGAACAAAAUGCAACUUAAUUUUAAAGUGUUUAGUUUUACCAUGGAACACAGGGUUCUUAGCUAUGGCAACUGCUGACUGGUUGUCCACCCAAAGUUCAGUUGCAUCAGCUUGUGUUUCAUUAAGAUCCUGAAGUAACUUCCUAAGCCAAAUGGCCUAAUUGACUGUUGCUGCUGCAGCCAUGUACUCUGCUUCAGCUGUGGACUGAGCAACAGUUUGUUGCUUCUUUGAACUCUAGCAAAACAUGCCUGAUCCAAGUGUGAAGAAGUAUCCAGAGGUACUCUUCAUGUCAACGAGGGAUCUUGCCCAGUUACUGUCUGAGUAACCUUCUAGUUUCAGUUCCUUCCCACUUUCAAACAUCACACCAAAGCUAGCAGUGCCUUUGAUAUAUCUAAGGACCCUCUUUGCAGCCUUCAAAUGUGCCUCAUUACAACAGUGCAUGAACCUAGAUAGCAGACUAACACCAAACAUGAUGUCUGGCCUGGUUGCUGUCAAAUAUAACAGGCAACCUACUAGGCUUCGAUAGUGCCUCUCAUCAACUCUCUACUGAUCUCCACUGCUUGUCAACUUUUCUCCUUGAGCCACUGGUGUGCUGACUGCUUUACAGUUAAGCAUGCAAAAUUUGCCUAGAAUCUUUAAAGAAAAUGUUUGUUGGCUGAUGAAGAUGCCUCGAUCAGACUGGUGAACUUCCAUGCCAAGGAAGUAUGUCAUGACCCCCAAAUCAGUCAUCUCAAACACUUGCUGCAUUUGAAGCUUGAAUUCAUCAAUGAGUUCAACUUUCUCCCUGUCACCAACAAGUCAUCCAUAUACAAGGAGACAAUCUGCAAGGUUUCAACUUCUGACCUCUUAACAUACAGGGUAGGCUCACUAAGACUCUUCACAAAUCCAAGCUUGAUCAGGUAAGCAUCAACUCUAUCAUACCAGGUCCUUGGUGCCUGUUUCAGGCCAUAAAGGGCCUUUCUCAGCCUGUACACUUUGUCUUCAUGUCCAACAACUUCAAAACCUUCUGGUUGCUCAAUGAAGAUUUCCUCCUUAAGAAAGCCAUUUUGGAAUGCUGAAUUUACAUCCAAUUGGUGAACCCUCCACUGCUUCUGAGCUACUAAAGCAAACAAAAGCUUGAUUGUCUCCAGUCUUGCUACUGGAGCAAAUGUCUCCAAGAAGUCCACCCCAUAUUGCUGACUGUAGCCCUUCACCACAAGCCUUGCCUUGUGCUUAUUCAAUGAGCCAUCAGCAUUGUACUUGGCUCUGUACACCCAUUUAACUCCUAUGACCUUCUUGUGUUCUGGUCUGCUCACCAAUUCCCAUGUUUGAUUUUUGUUGAUCAUUUCCAGCUCAGCCUCCAUAGCUUUCAUCCAGUUCUUGUCCUUGGCAGCCUCUUCAAAGUCUGAAGGCUCAAUCACAGCAACAUUACACCUCUGAUAGACAUCAGCCAAAGUUCUGGUGCCCCUCACUGGUGUAUCAUCAACAACAUCAUCACUCGAUCCUUCUUCUGUAGGUUCAGCAACCAAGUCUAACUGGUCCAUUUCAGGCAUGUCAGCUUCAGCACCAUUCCAAUUCCACACCUUUUCUUCAUCAAAUUUUACAUCCCUGCUGACUUGAACCUUCUUUGCUGUAGGAUCAUACACUCUAUAACCCUUCUUGUUGCUGCUAUAGCUAACAAAGAUUCCUGGAGUUGCCCUGCUCUCGAGCUUGGUUCUCUUUUCCACUGGAACAAGAGCAUAACACACACAACCAAACACUUUCAGGUGUGUUACCACUGGUUUGGCUUCAUGCCAAGCUUCAAAAGGAGUCUUAUCCUUGACUACUCGAGUUGGCAGCCUGUUGAGCAGGUAUACUGAGGUGUUAACUGCCUCAGCCCAAAACUGACUUGGAAGCUUGCCAUGAAACAAUAGGCACCUGGCCAUGUUCAGCAUAGUCCUAUUUUUCCUCUUACAGACACCAUUCUGUUGAGGAGUAUAGACUGUAGUAAGCUGAUGGUGAAUCCCAGCACUAUCACAAAGCUUCUGAAAUCUCUCAGACACAUAUUCAGAGCCAUUAUCAGUCCUCAAGGCUCUAAUUUUGCAGCCUGACUGAUUUUCAGCAUAUGCCUUAAAUUUGCAGAAGGCCUCAAACACUUCUGACUUCUGCUUCAACACAACCUUGUUAAAUCAUCUAUAAACAGGACAAAGUACCUGUUCUCAUUGAUUGAAGGUGUUCUCAUACGGCCACAGACAUUAGAGUGCACCAAUUCGAGCUUAUUUUGAGCUCUCCAAGUACUAUCAGCAGGAAAAGGCAGUCUAGCCUGCUUACCAAGCUGACAAACCUCACAAACAUUCCCACUAGCCUCAAUUUUUAAAAUGUCAUCAACCAAAUUCAGUUUAUGCAACAGAUCAAUAGAUCUGAAAUUGGCAUGACCUAGUCUUCUAUGCCACAAGUCAGUGCUGUCAACAAGGCUGGUGUAUGCCUUUCUUUCCACUUGGCUAACAUCCAGCAUAAAGCACCUAUCAGUCAUAGAGACUGUGACUAACUCUUGACCAUGCAUAUCUUGAACACUACAGUAGCCACCUUUAAAAACCAAUGUAUAGCCCUUUUCAACUAAUUGGCCUACACUAAGCAUGUUCUGGUCUAAGUUAGGUACAAAAAGCACAUCUGAGAUCAGCUUGUUACCUAAACCAGUGCUAACCAGCACAUUACCCUUGCCCUUAGCCUCAAUCAGCUUGCCGUCCCCAAUUCUGAUCCUCGAGUGGAAGCUUCUGUCUAGGCCCUUGAAUAGCUUCUCAUCUGCUGCCAUAUGGUGUGAACAACCAUUGUCUAGCAGCCAAUCAUUGUUGGCCUUUGUUGUGCCAACAAAGCAGGUUGCAGUAAAUACAUGCUCCUCCUGAGCUUGCAAAUCCUCAGCAGGUCGAGCUUGUUGCUGAGUGGUUUCCUUUGGCUUGCCCUUGCACACCUUCUCCGCAUGACCAAACUGCUUGCAGUUUCUGCAUUGUAUGUCUGGCCUAAACCAGCAGUAUUUUUCUGAGUGUGUUGUCUUCUUGCAGUGAACACAUGGUGGGAAAACCCUUUUUGCUUCAUCUCUUCCUGACUUGGCCCUUCUAUUGUGCCAAGGCUUUUUGCCUUUUGUACUCACACUCGAGCCUUCACUGGCUUUAACCUGAAAAGCAGCCUCAGGAUUCUCCUCCUGCCUAUUUGCCCUCCUUUGCUCAAGUGUAUACAGAGAGUUUAUCAGCUUAGACAAUGAAAUGGCUGAUAAGUCCCCCGAGUUCUCAAGUGAAGAGAUUUUUGACUCAAAUUUCUCAGGGAGAGUUAUGAUGACCUUUUCAACAACUCUGCUCUCUGUGAAAUCCACUCCCAAGAGCCUUAUGCUGUUGACAAUGGCCAUUAUCCUGUCUGAGUACUGCUUGAUGGUCUCAGACUCUUUCAUCCUCAAAUUCUCAAAGUCUCUCCUGAGAUUGAUCACCUACUGUUGCCUUGUCUUAUCAGUCCCCAUGAACUCCUCCUUCAGCUUCUCCCAGGCCUGCUUUGGUGAGUCACAGGCCAUGAUGCGAGUGAAUAUCACAUCAGAGACUCCAUUUUGCAAGCAGGUCAUAGCCUUAUGCUUCUUGGCUCUCUCCUCAGCAUGCUGCCUCAUCUGUGCAAUGGUGGGAUUGGCCCUCAAUGGAGGUGGUUUAGCAUCAUUCUCGAUUACACUCCAGAGAUCAUGUGCCUGGAGGUAAGUCUUCAUUUUGACUAUCCAAAUGUGAUAGUUUUCUCCAGUGAACACUGGUGGAGGUGGUGGAGUGAAACUCAUUUUGCUAGACUGAGUUCAAAGGCCUCGAUCACUUCUAAAUUUUAGCUUUGCUUUUGGUUUGAAAAACAACAGAAUGCAUAGGCCCCUCAAAGAUUCGGGCUCAUGAUACCAUUUGUUGGAACAUUGGCAGCAUCGAGCAAACAAAUUUACCAAGCAGAAGCAAGAUUGAUCGAAGCCAAAAAAAAAAAAAGAAAAAUUGGUAGAGCAGCAAAUGAAACUUGAAUGUACAACAGGAAAAUCGUAACUGAACAUCACAAUUUUCAUUCAAAUUUUGAAAAUAUAAAAGAGUUACAUUUUUGGCUUAAUUUGACAGUUACCUAAUGACAUAACUGCUCUCACUUAACUAAAACUAAUACAAACUUAAACAAUCUACAAAGAUAAGCUGACAUUUCAGCUUUUACAUCAAAAAUCAAGUCACAAACUUAAUCCUACUAACUUUGAGAGUUAGUUACAAUUGGACUAAGCUAAAUAACAUUACAACAAAAUAGCUAAAAACUGAUUGCUUUAUUCGGUCCAAAAAUCAACCUUGCAUGCCAAGCAAAAACAGUUGAGCUCGAUAGCUGCUGUUGAUCUCGACAGUGGUUGGCGCCAUGUUGCAUUGCAGUCCAGCUCUCAACACUUGCAUUUGCCUGUUUCUUAAAAUUUAGGAGUGAAAUAUCUCGAGUCUGAUAGCAUGUCUUGUUCUAAUGGCUUUAUGGGAACUUUCAGAUUCGACCUUUGUGGAGGCACUACUUCCAAAAUACUCAGGGGCUAAUCUUUGUUGUGGAUAGCAAUGAUCGUGAUCGUGUUGUUGAGGCCAGGGAUGAGCUUCACCGUAUGCUAAAUGAGGUGCCAGUUUGCUUCUUUGAACUUUGUUGGUUUGGUUUCUCUGUUAACUUGAAAUUUUCAAUAAUGAGGUCUACAUGUAGCUGUUAUGCAUGUGUAAUUACUAUUUUCAAUUAUUUUGUUGCUUAUAAUAUGUGUAGGAUGAGCUGAGGGAUGCUGUGCUGCUUGUAUUUGCAAACAAGCAAGAUUUACCAAAUGCUAUGAAUGCUGCUGAGAUCACUGAUAAACUUGGUCUUCAUUCCCUCCGUCAGCGCCACUGGUAUAACCUUUUCCCUGUUUGUUUAUUUCUAGAUUGGUCUGCCAGUUGUCUGUUCUGUUUUAAAAUCUCUCUUGUGAGUCACAGGUAUAUUCAGAGUACAUGCGCUACCUCUGGUGAAGGGUUGUAUGAGGGUCUGGACUGGCUCUCCAACAACAUAGCUAACAAGGUAGGUUCAGACUGAUACGUGUGUCCUUUAUUGAUAUUGUUCUGUUCUAAUUCUCGCUUCCAUUCAUUGUAUUUUUCCUAGGCUUGAGGUGGUUGGUAGAAGGUCGGUGACAUUUACAUUUGGGGUAGCAAUCUUUGUGGAAUUCGGAUAUGUAUAUCUCUAUUUUAUGAUAUGUUGCGUUAUUGGGGUUUUGUUUUUUUGCUUUUGCUCGACAACUUUUAAAUGAAAUGGAUGAGCUUGUGUUUAGAUAUGCUUUGUAGAUGGAAUUCAUUGUUCAGAGUUAAUUAACGAAUUCAUUGUUGACAUUUCAUAGGAACAUGUUACAUUUUUUACUUGUGGGGGGUAUCAAUACUAUGUUGAUUCUUGUUUGUUCAAGAAAAGUUUUAAGCAAGUAGAGCUGAGGUGGGGAAGAGUGAGGCCAUUUCAUUUUAUUUUGCGUAAGUCUCCUUCACUUCUUAGGAUCUCGGCCAUUUCACAUGUUUAUACCUUAGAGACAUUAAAGUAGUUUUGUUUUGGACAAUGUGACUGGUUUGUUUGCUGCAAGGUUAAAGCCACAAAGCACCUAACCAUUGAGGACAAGAGGAGAGCCAGUGACAAUGUGACUGCUUUCCGUCACUCAACAGACUUAAAAUGUUUCUCAAUACCAGUAUUAUCCAAGCAAUUCUGAGUUUCAAGAAUCCCUUCUGUAUAAUUAUAAUAGUAAUAAUAAGUCGGGGUGGAACGAAAUCAACCCAAAUGAUCCGACAAACACACAAUUUGCAUUGACAUGUUUUAUACAAAAUGCAUUUAUUAGUUAAAGGAUCUGCUUCAAUUAUCCAAUUUUUUUUAAAAUUAAAGUAUACUACUUGAUUCAUCAUUCAAUUUUUAUAAUCACCCAAAUAAAAAUAUUUAUAAUUUAAUCAUUUUUGUUACAAUAAUUAAAUAUUUUAAUAUUUUAGGCACCCCACUACUAACCCACUAAUGGAGUCUAAUGUGGCAUUCCACAUCAUUUUUUACCCGCUGUUGUUAAUCAUCUUCUUCUUCCUUUGCUCUCUGCUUCUGGUACACUCUCUUUCUUUACCCAUCACUGCACCAUCAAGGGGUAGCUUAGUAUUAAGUAGUGGCUCCUGCGUAACUACGUUCUGAGACGGUGCAGUGAAUUGCAUGAAUGACAGACUGAGACCAAGUAGUUUUGGUUGAUCUAAAAAUUCUAAUGGAUGAGUGGGUGAAUUAUGCAUCGCAACUGCCCAUGUUUGUAUGUAUGUACGAGGAUUACCGUCGUUAUGGGCCAUUGGUAAAGGGAAAUGAANNNNNNNNNNNNNNNNNNNNNNNNNNNNNNNNNNNNNNNNNNNNNNNNNNNNNNNNNNNNNNNNNNNNNNNNNNNNNNNNNNNNNNNNNNNNNNNNNNNNGUACUGUUCGCUAGUCACGGGUAGUAGUUAGGUUUGCUCGAAUCCAAUAUUCCAAUCCUUAAAUGUGUUUACCGAAGUGAGUGUCUUUUGCGGUUCAAAUAGGGAAUCAACUACCAUAUUUUUCAUUUUUCAUGUAUUUCUGACUUGAAUUAACUCCUUGUGUUGUAACUAUACAAUGUAAUACACGUUUUGCAGACUCUGCUAUGCGGAGCUCCUCACUUGUACGUGACAAGUCCAUCAAACAAGGGCUAAUUUUAUUUACUUCAUUAUUCAACUUCUAGGAAAAAGGUUGGUGCAUCGGAGGCUGAAUAACAAAUUUAAAAGAAAAAACUAUAUAUUAUCCCAUAAAUGGUAUACCAAUAUUCAUUUUUAUGUAAAAAAAAAACAAAAAAAACCAAUCAAACCAGACACAAGGACAACAUAUAACAGUCCUUAUGUUCCUGAUGAUAAAACAUCUGUCCAUUUCAAAAAUGGAAGGACAGAUCAAAUACAUACUACAAACAAGAAAAAAAUUGAACACAUUUACAUUCAUUCCUACACUGCUUUAGCUUAGGUGGAUUGUAUUGUAUUACUAAUCUGUAUCGUCACCAAAUUAAGCAGCGGAAGGGGCGUUAAUACGGUGAACAAAGCCGCCGGCCUUUGACAAAGCUGCCAAAAGCAGUUGCAGGCCGCUUUGCUUAUCCUCAUCAGCUUCUGCUGCUUGGCCAGAAGCCACGACAUUGUUGUAGUCAAGCGACUCAUCAUCGUAAAUCUCCCACCAUUUAGCCACCAGCGUCUUAAUGUCUUCCCUGUCCAUGUUGUCUUCUUUGCCGGUAUACCUCCAGGGUUUGGAGCCAGCAGCACAGUAGUGAACCACCUUGGCCUUGUCUAGCUCAAUGUUCUCAGGGUGGCGCCAUAGCAUGGCCAUCACCAGGUUGUAAAUGGGAGGGAUGGGCCUGUAAAUGUCCCUAAAGUACAUGUUCAGAUAAUCCUGCUCCGCAAAUGGGGUAGGAGGGGUGACUUUGAGGGUAGUCAAGAGGUCCUCAUAUGUAGAAAGGCUAGGUUCAUAUACAAACAUUCCAGCGUUGAAGUAAAGAGGAGGUUUAGGACCAAGCUGCGAAGGCCAUUGGACCCUAUCAGGGCACUGCUGGCAGUAGCCGAUCUUGUACUGAGGGGUGUGGCUCCAU